AAGCCAUGCAUGUCUAAGUAUAAACAAAUUUAUACAGUGAAACUGCGAAUGGCUCAUUAAAUCAGUUAUAAUUUAUUUGAUAUUCACUUACUACUUGGAUAACCGUGGUAAUUCUAGAGCUAAUACAUGCGUACAUAACCUCGACUUCUGGAAGAGGUGCACUUAUUAGAUAAAAAGCCAACGCGGGCAACCGCUUGUAUGGUGAUUCAUAAUAAUUAAGCGAAUCGCAUGGCCUUGUGCCGGCGAUGAUGCAUUCAAAUUUCUGCCCUAUCAAGUUUCGAUGGUAGGUUAGUGGCCUACCAUGCUUUUAACGGGUAACGGGGAAUUAGGGUUCGAUUCCGGAGAGGGAGCCUGAGAAACGGCUACCACAUCCAAGGAAGGCAGCAGGCGCGCAAAUUACCCAAUCCCGACACGGGGAGGUAGUGACAAUAAAUAACAAUACAGGGCCUUUACGGGUCUUGUAAUUGGAAUGAGUACAAUUUAAAUCCCUUAACGAGGAACAAUUGGAGGGCAAGUCUGGUGCCAGCAGCCGCGGUAAUUCCAGCUCCAAUAGCGUAUAUUAAAGUUGUUGCAGUUAAAAAGCUCGUAGUUGAAUUUUGGCCUUGGGUGGUUUGGUUUGGCCUUCAUUGGUCAAUGCCUUUUCCGCCUAGGUCUUACCUUCUGGGUUAGCUAGUGUCAYUUCGGUGGCGCUAGUGAACCAGAACUUUUACUUUGAAAAAAUUGGAGUGUUUAAAGCAGGCUUUCAAGCCUGAACAUAUUAGCAUGGAAUAAUGAAAUAGGACUUUGGCCUUAUUUCGUUGGUUUCUAAAGCCAAAGUAAUGAUGAAUAGGGAUAGUUGGGGACAUUAGUAUUCAAUUGUCAGAGGUGAAAUUCUUGGAUUUAUUGAAGACUAACUUCUGCGAAAGCAUUUGUCAAGGAUGUUUUCAUUAAUCAAGAACGAAAGUUAGGGGAUCGAAGACGAUCAGAUACCGUCGUAGUCUUAACCAUAAACUAUGCCGACUAAGGAUCGGAUGGUGUUAUAUUUUAUAUUGACCCAUUCGGCAUUUCAGCGAAAGCCAAGUUUUUGGGUUCCGGGGGGAGUAUGGUCGCAAGGCUGAAACU
rnacentral:rRNA from 1 species